UGUGUGUUUUGAUGACGGCACUCAGUUUCCGCCCGCACUGAUUUUGCCCGUGCCAAUACCAGACACAGUGUGUCCUCGCAAACACUGACCACCAGCUGCUGGAAGAUCCCAUCGCCGGCGACGUCAAUCGGAGGGUUCUGGAGCCGACGAUGAUGACUACGAGUAUGAAGAUGAGGGAGAGGAUGCUAUUGAGCCAAGCACGGAAGUUCCCGCGGUGACUACGCAUGCGCAUCGUCAUCAUCAUGGAGUGGAGAGUGUUCCGAUUGAUUACUCAAUUGGUUAUAUGUACCUACUACAUUCCCAAUAUUUAUUUUGGUUCAUUCUCUCGGUGUUUUUAUUAUCCGUUAUCCGUUAAUCCGUUUAAAUGCGAAUACUCCGAGGUUAAUGCAUUGUGGAUGGUGUUGAACUAUGUACGAGUAUAUGUAUAACCAAAGACUAUACAAUACCAAGAUGUUGCAUGAGGAACAAAUGCUU